CGACGCUUUUCCGAUCAGGACAGUAUAAAGAAGGAACCGACUCACUACACAUAGAACUUAGGAGAAACAGUUUAAUUAACAAAAGAGGUUGAUAUAUUCAACUGAUAUAGGAAUAUAUGGUAAAUCACCCACUACCGUUUUACACAUAGGCCAAUAAUUUGAAAAUAUAUCUUUGACAUAGACACGUAGUUUCCAAUAUUCAUCAAACAUUACAGUACACGAAAAUCGAUGAGUUUUUAUUUUUUAUAUAAAGUGGUACGAAAAAAGGCUGUUCACGUAUGCAUACUUGCAAACUUGAGUUGCAAACAAUUGUGAAAAAAUAGAGACAAAACAGUCAAGUAACGUGAAGUGCCCUAUAUUGUAUUAGCUUCUUAGCACUUAAAUCUUGUAAGCAACUUAAUCCACUUACUACUUGGUUCGUUAAACUUCACCAUUCCAAUAUACUAUGUACAAUGCACACUCUUAUUAGUUACAGCAUAAAAUCAUCUUUGAUGAUAUAAAUACUAAUUCUGUGGAUAGGGUUUGCCGUAUUUCACUUGCAACUAGAAUGAAUUAUUGGGUUAUUGUAGUAAAAAAUUCUAAGUUUUUGUAAACCCGGAUACCAUCGGCAAGUGAAAACUGACUGGAGUUAGUAGGAGGUAGAAAUAUGUUAUACACUUUGUUGCGAAUGUCACUAAAGGUUCAAAAAUCUCAAACUUAUAAGUUAUUGACAACUGAUCAAAAACUUGUAACCAAUUGCU